UACGUAGGCAGCAAGCGUUGUUCGGAAUUACUGGGCGUAAAGAGUGUGUAGGCGGUGUUCUAAGUCUGUUGUGAAAUCUCCCGGCUUAACUGGGAGGGUGCGGCGAAACUGGAUGCUAGAGGAUGGGAGAGGUAAGCGGAAUUCCUGGUGUAGCGGUGAAAUGCGUAGAUAUCAGGAGGAACACCUGUGGUGUAGACAGCUUACUGGACCUUUCUGACGCUGAGACACGAAAGCGUGGGUAGCAAACAGG
rnacentral:rRNA from 1 species